GUGGGGGUGGGAAUACGAGGAGGAAUCUGAGUCUGUGUGUUUUGACUGAGGCAAACUGUAAAAGAGGUAGGGUAGGUUAAAUAGGGAUAAAACGGUAAAAAUAAAAAUAAACAUAAAGGUUAAUUUUGUAUUUAAAAAAAAGUCCAAAAAAAUUGGGGAGUGGGGGUUGGAACUGGGGAGGUACAGGGAGUAACUCCCUUUUUUCUUACUAAUCCGCAUCAGUGGAUUAAAUAUAGUAACACUUUAUAAAUUAUAUAUCCGUAUAGCAUGCUACCAUUUUUUUCUUGCUAUC
rnacentral:lncRNA from 1 species